CUUAAAUCCAAAGUCCUCAUUUUAUAGAUGAGAACACUGAGGUCCAGAGAGGCUGAGUGACUUGUCUUCUGAGGUGGAUAAAAUCAGUGGAAUAGCCUGUUGUGAUCUCCAGGUGUGACUGUUCAUUGGGUCUAGAGUUGGCCUCUAUGAUUCUCUAGUUACCUUUUAACCCACUUUGCUAUUUGAGGUUUCAAAUUAUAUUUUUGAUGUUUCUGGUACAGGGGGCAGCAUCUUCUACUAUGUGCAUCUACAUUGGAUGGCAGUGGAGCAACACAGAUUGUUUUCUGACAAAAAUCAGCCAAGUACUAGGAGAGGCAGGACUUUAGAAGUGGAGGAGAUGGAGAAGGAAGCUUAGGUUACUAUGGAGUGUGCAAAAAGGUCCUGUGGAUUUAGAUACCACCACACACAAAUGCUGUUGUUGGAAGGUACCUGCCCAGAUAAGGACUGCAUUUCCUCUAGCAUCCAGAUGGGACCAAAUGACUGCUGGCCAAUAGAAGUGAGUGGAAAGGACUGACUCCAGUUCCAGGUUGGGCCUCCAACUGCUCUGGGCACGUCGAUGGAACAGAACACCACCUCCACCCCAAUACCACCAAUUCAACUUUACAUGAAUUAUAAGCGAGAAAUAACUUGGACUGUGUUAAGUCAUUGAGUUUCUGGGGUUUAACUGUUAUUAUAGUUAAGAAUGACUUUAACUAAUAUAGUCAAUGACAUCUAACUGGAGUUAUGAAAUUCAAUUUCUACUUAGAGUAAUUGAAGCAAAGGUUGUGGGGGAGGGGAGGAGGGCAGCACACCAUGAAAUCAGAGAUCCCCAGUACGUGUUAGUUCAUCAGUCAAUCAGUCUUAAGGUCAGGGUGUAGUGUGGGCAGCAGUUGCCUCCCUCUCCCCACAGAACACCCUGAGAAUAGGAAGUUAGAGUAGUCGCAUCUUAUUACUUACAAAACAUUACCUCAAAAUGCAAACUACCCCCUGGACCCAAACUCUCUACAAUCACCAGGUUCCAUAAACUAUAAUCUACUCUGUUUUCUGGAAGAAAAUAUUAACCUGUUAAAAUUCCCUGC
rnacentral:lncRNA from 10 species